UUUCAGAUAGCUUCAGUCAUUGUGUUUCUUCCCCAGGAUUGAGCUAUAUGCCGAUGAGGUCUGACCAGGGGAUUGAGAUAUUUGAAGUGUGCACUGGAGUUAUUGGAAGAUAAUUCCAUCAAUGAAUUCAUAACUUUUGGGACAUAAUAAGUUUAGUGGCUACACCGAGAUGUAGAGUUUCUGCGGGAGCGUGAAGCUCGAUCUAAUUCCGCACCACGACUAUGGUUGCGUAUUUGUUGUUCCGUUGAUCUUUAUGUUGACUAGGGUUGUCCAAAAGCUUAAUUUGUCCAUUGAUUGGAAGGAUUUAGCUAUUGGAGAGGAGG